GACGAACCGUGCGAACGUUGUUCGGAAUCACUGGGCUUAAAGGGCGCGUAGGCGGGCCGCCAAGUCCGCGGUGAAAUCCCCCGGCUCAACCGGGGAACUGCCGCGGAUACUGGAGGUCUCGAGGGAGGUAGGGGCAUGCGGAACUGCGGGUGGAGCGGUGAAAUGCGUUGAUAUCCGCAGGAACUCCGGUGGCGAAGGCGGCGAUGCUGGACCUUUUCUGACGCUGAGGCGCGAAGGCCAGGGGAGCGAACGGG
rnacentral:rRNA from 1 species